AUUGAACGCUGGCGGCGUGCCUAAUACAUGCAAGUCGAACUAAGUGGCGCACGGGUGAGUAAUAUAUAGUUCAUCUGCCCUACACAGAGGAACAACAGUUGUAAACUACUGCUAAUACCUCAUAGUGUAGGAUGAGACUAUAUCGUAUCAGCUAGUUGGUACUGUAAUGGCUUACCAAGGCUAUGACGCGUAACUGGUCUGAGAGGAUGAUCAUUCACAUUGGAACUGAGAAACGGUCCAAACUCCUACGGGAGGAAGCAGUAAGGAAUAUUGCGCAAGGGGGGGAACACUGACGCAGCAACGCGGAGUGGAGGAUGACAAUUUUCGGAGCGUAAACUCCUUUUAUCAGGAAAGCGGUACCUGAAGAAUAAGAACCGGCUAACUCCGUGCCAGCAGCCGCGGUAAUAC
rnacentral:rRNA from 1 species